rnacentral:rRNA from 1 species
GAUGAACGCUGGCGGCGUGCCUAAUACAUGCAAGUCGAGCGAACAGACGAGGAGCUUGCUCCUCUAACGUUAGCGGCGGACGGGUGAGUAACACGUGGAUAACCUACCUAUAAGACUGGGAUAACUUCGGGAAACCGGAGCUAAUACCGGAUAAUAUAUUGAACCGCAUGGUUCAAUAGUGAAAGACGGUUUUGCUGUCACUUAUAGAUGGAUCCGCGCCGCAUUAGCUAGUUGGUAAGGUAACGGCUUACCAAGGCGACGAUGCGUAGCCGACCUGAGAGGGUGAUCGGCCACACUAGAACUGAGACACGGUCCAGACUCCUACGGGAGGCAGCAGUAGGGAAUCUUCCGCAAUGGGCGAAAGCCUGACGGAGCAACGCCGCGUGAGUGAUGAAGGUCUUCGGAUCGUAAAACUCUGUUAUUAGGGAAGAACAAAUGUGUAAGUAACUAUGCACGUCUUGACGGUACCUAAUCAGAAAGCCACGGCUAACUACGUG